GCCGCGUUGGCGUAGUGGUAGCGCGUCUCACUCGUAUUACGAUAACUCUCUCUACAUGUUGUAGCGAUGAGAAGGUCACUCGUUCAAUCCGGGUACGCGGCA